rnacentral:rRNA from 1 species
UUGGUAUUUCCAUUGGUAUACAAACUUAUGGAGUUGACUUUGAUAUUGCUGGUGUCCACGACAUCCAUUGAUAGAGCUUUUUCAGAAAUGACGAUUAUCAAGAAUAAACGGAGCAAGAUCAAUAUUGAAUGGCUCAACGACUAGAUGAUAUGUUACACCAGGCGGGAGUUAUUCAAGUUAGUUGAUGAUAAGGACAUUAUUCGAAAAUUUACUGCAAUGAGGACUCGAAAAGGGCAUUUGCCUCGUGAUUUUCUUUAG